UUGGAUUGAUCCCUUGAUCAUUAUGCAGUGUCCUUCCUUGUCUCUUGUAACAGUCUUUAUUUUAAAGUCUAUUUUGUCUGAUAUGAGUAUUGCUACUCCAGCUUUCUUUGGAUUUCCAUUUGUAUAGAAUAUCUUUUUUCAUCCCCUCACUUUCAGACUGUAUGUGUCCCUAGGUCUGAAGUGGGUCUCUUGUAGACAGCAUGUAUAUGGGUCUUGCUUUUGUAUCUAUUGAGCCGGUCUGUGUCUCUUGGUUGGAACAUUCAGUCCAUCAACAUUUAAGGUAAUUAUCGAUAUGUAUGUUCCUAUUACCAUUUUUUUUUUCCUAUUACCAUUUUAUUAAUUGUUUUUGGUUUGUUUUUGUGGGUCUUUUUCUUCUUCUGUGUUUCCCACCUAGAGAAGUUCCUUUAGCAUUUGUUGUAAAGCUGGAAUGGUGGUGCUGAAUUCUCUUAGCUUUUGCUUGUCUGUAAAGCUUUUUAUUACCUUGUUGAAUCUGAAUGAGAUCCUUGCUGGGUAGAGUAAUCUUGGUUGUAGGUUUUCCCCUUUCAUCACUGCCACUCCCUUCUGGCCUGCAGAGUUUCUGCUGAAAAAUCAGCUGAUAACCUUAUGGGGAUUCCCUUGUAUGUUAUUUGUUGCUUUUCCCUUGUUGCUUUUAAUAUUUUUUCUUUGAAUUUAAUUUUUGUUAGUUGAUUAAUAUGUGUCUUGGUGUGUUUUUCCUAGGGCUUAUCCUGUAUGGAGCUCUCUGUGCUUCCUGGACUUGGAUGACUAUUUCCUUUCCCAUGUGAGGGAAGUUUUCAAGUAUAAUCUCUUUAAAUAUUUUCUCAGACCCUUUCUUUUUCUCUUCUUCUGGGACCCCUAUAAUUUGAAUGUUGGUGUGUUUAGUAUUGUCCCAGAGGUCUCUGAGAUUGUCUUCAAUUCUUUUCAUUCUUUUUUCUUUAUUCUGCUCCUUGGCAGUUAUUUCUACCACUAUGUCUUCCAGCUCACUUGUUCGUUCUUCUGCCUCAGUUAUUGUUACUGAUUCCUUCUAGUGUAUUUUUCAUUUCAGUUAUUAUGUUGUUCAUCUCUGUUUUUUAUUCCUUAGUUCUAGAUCUUUGUUAAACAUUUCUUGUAUUUUGUCCAUCUGUGCCUCCAUUCUAUUUCUGAGAUUCUGGAUCAUCUUUGCUAUUAUUACUCUGAAUUCUUUUUCAGGUAGAUUGCUUAUUUCCUCUUCAUUUAUUUGGUCUUGUAGGUUUUUACCUUGCUCCUUCAUCUGUGACAUAUUUUUUACCAUCUCAUUGUUUUUUCUUUUAAUGUGUGGGAUUGUGUUCCUGUCCUACUGGUUGGUUGACCUGAGGCUUCCAACACUGGAGUUUGUAGGCUGUUGGGUAGAGCUGGGUCUUGGUGCUGAGGUGAGGAACUCCGUGAGACCUCACUCUGAUGAAUAUUCCUUGGGGUCUGAGGUUCUCUGUUAGUCCAGUGGUUCAGACUCAGUGUUCCCACCACAGGAGCAUCACCCCAACCCGAGGCUCAUGACAAGAUCCCACAAGCUGCCUGGGGUGGCAAAAAAAAAAAAAAAAAAAAAAAGAACAAUAACAAAGUAAAAAAUAAAAUUAAACUAAGAAA